rnacentral:lncRNA from 1 species
GCGAUCAACGUGGUCAUGGUAUUUGAUACACAUAAUAUAACUUGUAAGCAUACAAAAUUACACGCAGAUUCGCAUAAAACAGGGGGUUUUAUUUUAUUUUAAUUUUAUCAUGUUUUUCAGAUAACAUGAAAGAAAAAGACCCAAAGAUAUAAAUUUAUUUUUCAUCAGUCAUAAGCACCCCCCCAUACUUAGGCUGAAAGUUGAUCCAUCAGCACUUAAACGGAACCGCUGAAACCUUUAUUGUAAGCAUAUUCAAUAAGGGAAUCCAACUCAUCAUUGGUGCAGUCGAUCAAAUUGUCCUUAUUUUUAUCAGCAACGUCCAUGGCCUCUUCAACUUGCUUGUUUGGCGUGAGUGCACCUAGAUGUUCAAAAGCAUCCUUGAGCUGGUCCCUGGUGAUGCUGCCCUGCUUGGAGUAAGAUCGAAACACUUGUUCCAAUUUAUUUUUCUGAUCCUUGUUAUCCUUUGUGGCUUGCAUUGUGGAUUUUGAGGUGUGUGACCGGGUGAUAUUAGAGAGAAGGCUUGCCUAGCUUGGUUUGGUUUUCUUUUCCAAUGCAAUUUGUUUAUAUAGACCCAAAACUCUGAAUACGAUUCUGUUGAAGUGUUGGGGAAUAAAACAUUUUUUGGUGGUGGGUUUUAAAAAUUGAUUUCCAUCUUUUUUAUCAAUAAAAUUAAUAAAUCAAUCAAUAAAUUUUAUAAUGAAUACUUAAAAAAAUAUUCCAAGAGGAUUGGUACGAAUAAAAAUAUUAACGUUAAUUUCUUCUUUUCUUCUGGCUUCAAAUUAACCACAGAUUGGAAAAAGCUAAAUAGCAGCCUCCACUAUCUUGUGUCCAUUUUCUAUUGUUUCAUUUGUUUUAGCCCUCAAUUUGCAGUUUUUAGGUUUUUCUUUUUUGGUUCCCUGAUUAAAUGAUGCAUUUUGGUCCAUUUGGUUUUAAUGAAUUUUCAGAAUUUGGUAGAUCUCGUGAAAGGAGUUCUAGGAAGUACUUUGAUGAGCAUGCUUGUAAAUUGUGAUAAUUAUUCUGUAUGAAUGUUAAGUUAUAAAUUAUAUUUUAAAUUAGAUAAUUUUGUAAAAAAAUUAUAUUGAUGGAAGCGUGUACAUGGUAUUCAGAUUUUAUCUUUUCAUUUCUUCAUUUUUUUAUAAAGCUUUAUUUUUAAAAAGUUCCUAUUAAAAAUUUUUACAAGAAUAAAUCAUCAUUAGUAAUAUUGCAUGACAAUUCAAUUUUUUUUUCCUUUUUAUUUGUUUUGAUUUUGAUUUUUUCUUUUUUACUUUUUUUCUACUUUAUUUUUUAUUAGAUCAAUUGUUUCAGUGAAAAAAACUUAUCGGAUGUGCCCACAUGGCAUCCUAUUUUAUUUUUUGCCUUUCAUCUUUUUUUAAUUAGAUAAAUAAUACAAUAAAAAAAUCAAUAUAUAAAUUUUAUAAGAUAAAAAUCAAUUGAAGUAUAGACAACAAAAUAUCUUGUAUCCGAUAUGUUUCGAUUCCUAUGGAUCAAUCGUUGUGCUUUUUCUUUUUUUAAUUUAGGAUUGGAAACCUUAAAAAAUAUGAAUUAUUACCAAAUUACAAUAGCAUCAUCUACUAAAAUAAUUUUGUAAGAAACCUUUAUGAAGUAAGAAACGGAAAACUUAUAAUUGAAAAAUGAAUUAAUUAAUAGUAGGAUAGAAAAAUAAUUUAAAAGAUUACAAUUAGUAAUUUCAUAAUCAAAUAAAUGAAUUUUUUUAAAAUUAAUGUAAAACUAUGUUUUCUAAACCAAAGCAAUGCACAAAUGACACCACAAAUUGAUCCUUCAUAUAUGCCUUACAAACAUUUUAAUAAAAUUACAAAAAAAAAAAUUUAACUAUUUCCAAAAAUAAAAAUCUUGAUAUAUAUAAUUUUGCUAAAUAAGGUAUUUAAACUUUUGAUAAAUGAAAUUACCUUCAUAAAUGAAAUCUUACUUGAAAUCCUGCAACUAAUUAACUCAUUUUAAUAGUUUAAUUUUCAUUAAAGUGUAAUUUUCUUUUGCUUGCUAAGACCAACAUCAGUAUGUACUUUAACUUUUUUGUCAAAUAGCUACAGUUUUAUCAAAAUCAUUUUCGUCUAUACUUAUAUAUAUGCACGUACAAAAACAAAUCCAUAAAUGUGUGUAAAAUUAAAAAGAAUUAAGCAUUUAAUACGAUUCAUAUAUAUAUAUAUAUAUAUAUAUAUAUAUACACACACACAUCCACACACUAUCUGUAUUUCUCAUAAAUAGGUUAACUUUCAAGUUUUCUCGAAACCUUUUAUCAUGUUUUUAAGUAAUAAAAAUAUUAGGGUAUGGUUCAUAAUAGUACGAUUAACAUGUUCAUGGUAUUUGAUACACACAAUAUAACUUGCAAGCAUGUAAAAUUACACAGAUUUGAAUAAAAACAGGGGAUUUUAUUUUAUUUUAAUUUUAUCAUGUUUUUGGGAUAACAUGAAGGAAAAAGACCCAAAGCUAUAUAUUUAUUUUUCAUCAGUCAAAAGCAUCCCCCAUACUUAGGCUGAAAGUUGAUCCAUCAGCACUCAAACGGAACUGCUGAAGCCUUUAUUGUAAGCAUAUUCAAUAAGGGAAUCCAACUCAUCAUUGGUGCAGUCGAUCAAAUUGUCCUUAUUUUUAUCAGCAACGUCCAUGGCCUCUUCGACUUGCUUGUUUGGCGUGAGUGCACCUAGAUGUUGAAAAGCAUCCUUGAGCUGGUCCCUGGUGAGGCUGCCCUGCUUAGAGUAAGAUCGAAACACUUGUUCCAAUUUGUUUUUCUGAUCCUUGUUAUCCUUUGUGGCUUGCAUUGUGGAUUUUGAGGUUAUGACAGGGUGAUAUUAGAGAGAAGGCUUGCCUAGCUUGGUUUGGUUUUCUUUUUCCAACGCAAUUCGUUUAUAUAGACCCAAAACUUUGAACACGAUUCUGUUGAAGUGUAGGGGUAUAAAACAUUAUUUGGUGGUGGGUUUUAAAAAUUGAUUUCCGUCCUCUUUAUCAAUAAAAGUAUUAAAUCAAUCAAUAAAUUUUUGUAAUGAACACUUCAAAAAAAAUUCCAUGAGGAUUGGUACGAAUAAAAAUAUUAAUGUUAAUUUCUUCUUUUCUUCUGGCUUCAAAUUAACCACAGAUUGAAAAAUGCUAAAUAGCAGCCUCCACUAUCUUGUGUUUCGUUUAUUUUAGCCCUCAAUUUGCAGUUUAGUUUUAGUUUUUUUUUUUUUUUUUUUUUUUUUGUGGUUGCCUGAUUAAAUGAUACAUUUCGGUUUUAAUGAAUUUCCAGAAUUUGGUAGAUCUCGUGAAAGGAGUUCUAGAAAGCACUUUGAUGAGCAUGCUUGAAAUUUGUGAUAAUUUUUACUAAGAAUUUUUACAAGAAUAGAUCAUCAUUGCUAAUAUUGUGUGACAAUUUAACUUUUUUUUUGUUUUCAUUUUCGUUUUAUUUUUUUUUUAGUUUUUUUUCUCCCCUUUUUUUUUAUUAGAUCAAUUGUUUCAGCAAAAAAAAAAAAAAAAAACCCAAUGGAUAUGCCUAGAGUGUAACGAGCGACGUUGACCGAAUCGUGAGAAGCUUGACUUGAGGCUCGGAGCUCGACCACACCUCCGGGGCUCGAUACUAUGGCUCGAUUGUAUUGCGUGAUCGAAUCGAGCUAUUCGAGCUCGCUCGAUUAAGUUUCGAUUAAUAUGUUCAAAAAAAAGCUCGAUUCGUAUCUCGAUAAGAGUCUUGAUUUAAUUCAUGCUCGAAUUCAAAAAUCGAAUAUUUUAUUAAUUAAUAAUAAUAAAAAAUUUCUAAAUUAUAAGCUCGACUAAGCUCGCGAGCUACUCGAGUUAGAUAUAAGAAUACUCGAAUUCAGCUCGAUCGAUAAGUCGAGCUACUCGAGCUCGAGCUCGACUCGAUAAUAAUCGAACCGAAUUGAACCCGAAUAGCUUAUGAGUACUAAUGUAUCAUUUACACCCUUAGGUAUGCCCAUGUGCCAUCUUAUUUCAUUUUUUGCCUUUCAUUUUUUUUGUAAUUAGAUAAAUAUCACAAUAAAAAAAUCAGUAUAUAAAUUUUUUAAGAUAAAAAUCAAUUGACGUGUAGACAACAAAAUAUCUUGUAUCCUAUAUGUUUCGUUUCCUGUGAAUCCAAUCGGUGUGCUUUUUUUUUUUUUUAAAUUUAGGAUCAGAAGCCUUAAAAAAUAUGAAUUAUUACCCAAUUAUAAUAGCAUCAUCUACUAAAAUAAUUUUGUAAGAAACCUUUAUGAAGUAAGAAACGGAAAACUUAUAAUUGAAAAAUGAAUUAAUUAAUAGUAGGAUAAAAAAAAUUUAAAAGAUUACAAUUAGUAAUUUCAUAAUCAAAUAAAUGAUUUUUUUUAAAUUAUAUGUAUAAGUAUGUUUUCUAAACCAAAGCAAUGCACAAAUGACACCACAAAUUAAUCCUUUUAUAUAUGCCUUGCAAAUAUUUUAAUAAAAUUACAAAAAAAAUUUAACUAUUUCCAAAAAUAAAAUCUUGAUAUUUAUAAUUUUGCUAAACAAGUUAUUUAAACUUUUGAUAAUUAAAGUUAUCUUUAUAAAUGAAAUCCAACUUGAAAUCUUGCAACUAAUUAACCCAUUUUGAUAUUUCAAUUCUCAUCAAGAUAUAACUUUGUUUUGCUGCUGAGACCAACAACAAUAUGUACUUUAAUUUUUUUUGUCAAAUAGCCUCAAUUUUAUAAAAAUUAAUUUUGUCUAUACUUAUAUAUAUGCACGUGCAAAAACAUAUGCAUAAGUGUGUGUAAAAAUAAAAAGAAUUAAGCAUUUAAAUUAGAUUGAUAUAUAUAUAUAUAUAUAUAUAUAUAUAUACACUAUCUGCUUUCCUUCCGAAAAGGUUGACUUUCGAAUUUCUUCAAACCUUUUAUCAUGUUUUUAAGUAAUAACAAUAUUAGUGUAUAGUUUAUAAUAGUAUGAUCAACGUGUUCAUGAUAUUUGAUACACACAAUAUAACUUGCAAGUAUGUAAAACAACACAGAUUUAAAUAAAAAUAGGGGGUUUUAUUUUAUUUUAAUUUUACAUCCUUUCGAGACAACAUGAAAGAAAAAGACCCAAAGAUAUAUAUUUAUUUUUCGUCAGUCAUAAGCAUCCCCCAUACUUAGGCUGAAAGUUGAUCCAUCAGCACUCAAACGGAACCGCUGAAGCCUUUAUUGUAAGCAUAUUCAAUAAGGGAAUCCAACUCAUCAUUGGUGCAGUCGAUCAAAUUGUCCUAAUUUUUAUCAGCAACCUCCAUGGCCUCUUCAACUUGCUUGUUUAGCGUGAGUGCACCUAGUUGUUGAAAAGCCUCCUUGAGCUGAUCCCUGGUGAGGCUGCCCUGCUUAGAGUAAUAACGAAACACUUGUUCCAAUUUGUUUUUAUGAUCCUUGUUAUCCUUUGUGGCUUGCAUUGUGGAUUUCGAGGUUUAUGACUGGGUGAUAUUAGAGAGAAGGCUUGUCUAGC